rnacentral:rRNA from 1 species
UACGUAGGGUGCGAGCGUUGUCCGGAAUUAUUGGGCGUAAAGGGCUCGUAGGCGGUCUGUCACGUCGGGAGUGAAAACUCGGGGCUCAACCCCGAGCCUGCUUCCGAUACGGGCAGACUAGAGGUAUGCAGGGGAGAAUGGAAUUCCUGGUGUAGCGGUGAAAUGCGCAGAUAUCAGGAGGAACACCGGUGGCGAAGGCGGUUCUCUGGGCAUUACCUGACGCUGAGGCGCGAAAGCCAGGGGAGCAAACGGG